ACCAUCCUUUUCUUGGGGUUGCGCUACUGUCCAAUGAACGUGUAGUGAGGGCAGUACUGCUAACGCCUGAACAACACAUACGCAUCAGGCGGGCUCUGCCUGGCCUCGGUGCAAUUUUUGGAACU